CUUCUCCGACAUUCACCUGCCUGCGCUACGGGCCACUGGUUCCUCUCCCCUCGGCCCACUCGGCUUCGUCAGUCACGGAGUAACCCUGCCCAACCUUUGCAAGAAGGCAUCCGAAGGUGUCCCGGAAACAAGACCAGCUGGGCCAGGUGUGGGGGAAGAGAGACAGAAGAUAAUCAAGCCAGCCCCUCCCAACAUCCUAGAUGCCUUGAGCUCUGUGUGUUGAGAAAGAGGUGAUCAUUUGUAGGAUCAACAGAAAGAAUGCUAUGACUCAUUAAUAAUCCUGCACCAGGCCAAGGGUGUGACAUUCCAGGCCUUCAAGAGUGAUCCUGGCUUAAGGCUCUCCAUCCCUUUUGAGACCCCUUUGUGAAAUGUGCCAGAUUCAAUUCAGCUCUGUUGCUGACACAAUUCUACGCUGACUGAAGCAGAACACCUAUGCUAGAAAUUCUUUGAGGGAGGACCUGAAGUUCUCUAUUGAGCCACUGCAGGUAGAAGGAGGUCCGGGAAGCCACUGCAAGAACUUCU